GGGCCAAUUGUGUUCUAAAGAGGUAGAAUAUAGGAAAUCGUAUGUAUAUAACUGGAAUGCUUUGCCUUCUCAGUGUUGUAAGCGGCCACAGGAAGUCACCAGUUAGAAAUGACUGACAAGGAUUAUUUUAUAUUCAAAAUGUGAUACUCUGUGAUGUGUAACUAUACCAUUAUGCUGGCAUAAAACCAAUGGGAACAACGAUAUAACAAUGUGAUGAUGACAGAAUAUUACUUGCCUUAGAUAAAAACAAGAUGGGUCUACCCAGUAGUGCCUUAGGUUCAUUAGUCAGAAGGCCCACUUGUCUUAAAGUUCAUUAACCUGAAAGACCACUAGUCCGAUGAUUUAUUAGUCCGUAGGUUCAUUAUUCAUCCCAUUAGCCUAAAAAUUCACUAGUCCAAGUGUUCAUUAGUCUAAACUGGUUUUUUUUUUAGGUCACCUGACCUAUUGCUAUUGGUUUCUGUUCAUUAUCGUGUGUUAUCUGUUGUGCAUCGAUUAUUACUAAUUUUACACUUUUAACUUCUUGAAAACAUACAGUAAAACUCGUUUAGUACGAACACGGAUAUAGCGAAAAGUUUCUGUAGGAUAAGAGGAAUCUGAAUGGUAAAAGUUAUUACCUUACUACCCCUGGGACCUAGUGGGUGGGGCCAAAUAUGGAAAAAAAAAAAGCAAGAUUAAGAAAAUCCUCCUCUUUUUUUCCACACGUGGGUAAAAAAGAAGUAAAGAAUGGUUAUGAUGUCCAUGAAGCCCUCUACCAAAAUUGUAAAAUUUAUGUUCCCAGUAUUUUCAUUAUGGUCAGGAGUUUAGACCCUUGGUUGGAGUCAAUAUAUCUUAUUCUGUAUUUUGACAGUUAUGGAAGAGAAACUAAAUGCAUUGUUACUAUGUUCAUGAUGUCCUGUUCUAAAUUGUGAUUUUGUAACCAAGACUAUUUUUAAAAAUCCCAUGUAAAAGCUUUCAUUUUACUCUUUGACAAGUGACCAUAAAAGCCCUGCAGGUUCUCUGAUUAAGGUUUAGACUCUAAAAUAAAGAUAAAAAUGCAAACAUAGGACUCGCUGACAGGUCCAUCAACGGGCAGUAGUACUCAGGUGACUGUCAAGGCCCGUGGGCCUCUUGUUAUUAUUUGUGUACAAUUAAGAUACAUGACUUGUAUGUUUGAUAUAAUCAUUUACACAAUUAAAAGGUUGUUGGGUCUAUAAUUAAUUGAACUUUGUUU
rnacentral:misc_RNA from 1 species